UGCGCAAGCGGCCGUCAUGGUUGCCGCUCAGGGCAGCUCGGUGGCUGUGGGAGCUGGGGUCGCGGCGGCGCGGGUGCUCCGGGCCGAGGGCGCGUGUAAUGUUCAAGCCCAGAAAUGCCUUAUGUGGAUCGUCAGAAUCGCAUUUGUGGUUUCCUAGACAUUGAAGAAAAUGAAAACAGUGGGAAAUUUCUUCGAAGGUACUUCAUACUGGAUACCAGAGAAGACAGUUUUGUGUGGUACAUGGAUAAUCCACAGAACCUACCUUCUGGAUCAUCACGUGUUGGAGCCAUUAAGCUUACCUACAUUUCAAAGGUUAGCGAUGCUACUAAGCUAAGGCCAAAGGCUGAGUUCUGUUUUGUUAUGAAUGCAGGAAUGAGGAAGUACUUCCUACAAGCCAACGAUCAGCAGGACCUUGUAGAAUGGGUAAAUGUGCUGAACAAAGCUAUAAAAAUUACAGUACCAAAGCAGUCAGACUCACAACCUAAUUCUGAUAACCUAAGUCGCCAAGGUGAUUGUGGGAAGAAGCAGGUAUCUUACAGAACUGAUAUUGUUGGAGGUGUACCCAUCAUUACUCCAACUCGGAAAGAAGAAGUAAACGAAUGUGGUGAAAGUAUUGACAGAAACAAUUUGAAACGGUCGCAAAGCCACCUCCCUUACUUUACUCCUAAACCACCUCCAGAUAGUGCAGUUAUCAAAGCUGGAUACUGUGUAAAGCAAGGAGCAGUGAUGAAAAACUGGAAGAGAAGAUAUUUUCAAUUGGAUGAAAACACAAUAGGCUACUUCAAAUCCGAACUGGAAAAGGAACCUCUCCGUGUAAUACCACUUAAAGAGGUUCAUAAAGUCCAGGAAUGUAAGCAAAGUGACAUAAUGAUGAGGGACAACCUUUUUGAAAUUGUAACAACGUCUCGAACUUUCUAUGUGCAGGCUGAUAGCCCUGAGGAGAUGCACAGUUGGAUUAAAGCCGUCUCGGGCGCCAUUGUGGCACAGCGGGGACCGGGCCGGUCAGCCCCUUCUGAGCAUUCAGAGUCCAGGCACGCUUUCCGUCCUUCCAGCGCAGCCGCCGCCUCACAUUCCACAGCCACUCACAGCAGCUCUUUGGUCUCAAGCUUUACCAUGGAGAAGCGAGGAUUUUACGAAUCUCUUGCCAAGGUCAAGCCAGGGAACUUCAAGGUCCAGACUGUCUCUCCAAGAGAACCAGCUUCCAAAGUGACUGAACAAGCUCUGCUAAAACCUCAAAGUAAAAAUGGCCCUCAGGAAAAAGAUGGUGACCCAGUGGACUUGGAUGACGCAAGCCUUCCCGUCAGUGACGUGUGAGAUAGAAGCUCGG